AUACUUACCUGGCUGGGGAGAUACCAUGAUCAUGAAGGUGGUUUUCCCAGGGUGAGGCUUAUCCAUUGCACUUUGGAUGUGUGGACUCUUGAGAUUUCCCCAAAUGUGGGAAACUCCAUUGCAUAAUUUGUGGUAGUAGGGGACUGUGUUUGUACUCUCUUCUA
rnacentral:snRNA from 1 species